AGAGUUCGAUCCUGGCUCAGGAUGAACGCUGGCGGCGCGCCUAACACAUGCAAGUCGAACGGCACCCCUCUUCGGAGGGAAGCGAGUGGCGAACGGCUGAGUAACACGUGGAGAACCCGCCCCCUCCUCCGGGAUAGCCUCGGGAAACCGUGGGUAAUACCGGAUGACCCCGCAGGGCCGCAUGGCCCCGCGGGCAAAGCCCAGACGGGAGGGGAUGGCUCCGCGGCCCAUCAGGUAGACGGCGGGGUGACGGCCCACCGUGCCGACAACGGGUAGCCGGGUUGAGAGACCGACCGGCCAGAUUGGGACUGAGACACGGCCCAGACUCCUACGGGAGGCAGCAGUGGGGAAUCUUGCGCAAUGGGGGGAACCCUGACGCAGCGACGCCGCGUGCGGGACGGAGGCCUUCGGGUCGUAAACCGCUUUCAGCAGGGAAGAGUCAAGACUGUACCUGCAGAAGAAGCCCCGGCUAACUACGUGCCAGCAGCCGCGGUAAUACGUAGGGGGCGAGCGUUAUCCGGAUUCAUUGGGCGUAAAGCGCGCGUAGGCGGCCCGGCAGGCCGGGGGUCGAAGCGGGGGGCUCAACCCCCCGAAGCCCCCGGAACCUCCGCGGCUUGGGUCCGGUAGGGGAGGGUGGAACACCCGGUGUAGCGGUGGAAUGCGCAGAUAUCGGGUGGAACACCGGUGGCGAAGGCGGCCCUCUGGGCCGAGACCGACGCUGAGGCGCGAAAGCUGGGGGAGCGAACAGGAUUAGAUACCCUGGUAGUCCCAGCCGUAAACGAUGGACGCUAGGUGUGGGGGGACGAUCCCCCCGUGCCGCAGCCAACGCAUUAAGCGUCCCGCCUGGGGAGUACGGCCGCAAGGCUAAAACUCAAAGGAAUUGACGGGGGCCCGCACAAGCAGCGGAGCAUGUGGCUUAAUUCGAAGCAACGCGAAGAACCUUACCAGGGCUUGACAUCACCGUGAGCCGCCGGAGACGGCGGGGCCGAAAGGAGC
rnacentral:rRNA from 1 species